ensembl:lncRNA
GUUUGACCUGCUGCCAUCGCCAGGUCCGGCUCCCCCAACCCUGCCCCGUGGAGGGGCGCGGCCAGGUGCAGUGGGGAUCCCGCGCAAUGCGCAGUUUAUUAAGAGCCGGGGCGGCCUCGGGUGUUUGAACUCGACCCUUGGCGGGGGCGAGGUCCCCACACCCUUUGUAUGGGGAGUGGGGACGACCCAGGCCGGGGUGCGAGGUGACGCCGACACUCCUGACUAACGCGACAUGCUCCGGCCUGCCCCCGCCCCCAGCCCAAGUCCGCGCGGCGCCGAGGUGGCCCCGGAGCGUCGGGGACCCGUAACGAACUGGUGUCACCUGCUGAGAACCCAGGACACUCCCGACAGCCACGUGCGCAGGUGGCCUGACGCAGACUGGAGAUUCAGCAGCGCUUCGUGAGCAACCCUUCUCCCUGGGACCCCAAGGUGAAAGAAACUGAAGUUUAGGUCUCUCCUGUCCUCUCCUGGAUGUCAGAUUUUCCUGUGGAAAUUGGUAUUGAUGUUUAUUUCCCUUUGAAACCAGGAUUUCUCCCUGUCCCAUGGCCCCAGCAAGAGUGCCAGACCAGCCUACAGGCCGCAGACCCACAGAGGCAACAGCUUCUCAAACUGCCAAGACUUCCAGCCCUUUGUCCUCAACUUGAAAGAGUCUCCUGGGCUCCCUUUGUCUGCCCUUCUCUCUGCUUCGACAGUUGACAGUCGUAGAUUCACUGCCACAAUCAAGUGGUAAACCGUCUCAUCCCGUCAUUCUGAGCAGUUCUCAGUGCCCCUUUGCAGCCAGUCCCUCUCCUCUACCACCAGUCUUGAGCAGCCAUUGAUCCUCUGUCACCGUAGUUUUGCCUUUUCCUGCAGGCUGCUGUGAAUAUUUGUGCACAAGUCUUUAGGGUAAGCACACAGAAGACGGACUGCCAGGUUUUAUGGGAUCAAACUCAGGACCUUGAACCUGAGAGGCAGGCGGCAGAACCACUGAGCUAAAUCCCUGGCCCUGGUUUGUAUUUUUUAUGUCCUGAGAAGUCUGCCUGCUCAAAUGUCACAAAGGUCAUCUAUGUUUUCCUCUGGAAAUUUUAUAGUUUUUCCUUUCACAGUUACUGAUACAUUUUGAGUUCAUUUUUGUGUAUAAUAAAGAUAAGAAUUGGAGUUCUUGGGCUGGGGAUUUAGCUUAGUGGCACCCCACCUGCCUCACAAGCGCAAGGUCCUGAGUUCAAUCCCGUACCAAAGAAAAAAAAAAUUGGGGUUCUAUUUUUUUUCCUAAUAGAUAUCCAAGUAUUCUAAGACCAUUUGUUGAACUGUUAUUACACACAGACACGCACGCACACACACGCUAAAUGCCUUGGCACCUUUUUUGAAACUUUGUUGCCCACGUCUUUCCAAUAUGAAGAUUAGAAUUGACUUACUAAAUUUUAGGGGAAAAAGAGCCUGAUGGGAUUGGGAUUGCAUUGGCUCUUUAGAUUAACUGGGGAAGAACUGACAUCCUAACAAUACAGAUUCUUCCCAACCCACGAGCAUGGUAAAGUAUAUCUCUCCACUUAUUCGCUUUUAAUGUUUUUUAGCUUUCAUUGUGCAUAUCUUGCAAAUAUUUUGUUAAACUUACCCUAGGUAUUUUUUUCUGAUUUUUUAGCACUAUUGAAAAUAUUUUAAAAUUUUAAAUGCAAUUUUUUUUGUUGUUUUCAUUUUUGUUUUUGGUACCAGGGAUUGAACUUGGGACCUUCUGCUUUUGAGGCAGGUGGCGGAACCACUGAGCUAAAUCCCCAGCCCGCAAUUGUUUUUUAUAUUGGACUUUGUACCCUGCAAUUUUGCUAAUUUCUCAGUUCUGAUAGCUUAUUGUGGAUUCUUAGAGGUUUACAUCCACAAUCAUGUAGUCUGCAAUAAAGAUGGCUUCACUUCUUUCUGACCUGUA